UGGAGAGUUUGAUUUUGGUUUAGGAUGAAUGUUGGUGGUAUGUUUAAUAUAUGUAAGUUGGAUGGAAAGUAUUUUUUGGUGUUUUUAGUGGUGGAUGGGUGAGUAAUGUGUAAGAAUUUGUUUUUGGGAGGGGGAUAAUAGUUGGAAAUGGUUGUUAAUAUUUUAUAAGUUGAGGAGUAAAAGGAGGAAUUUGUUUAAGGAGGGGUUUGUGUUUGAUUAGUUAGUUGGUGAGGUAAUGGUUUAUUAAGGUGAUGAUUAGUAGUUGGUUUGAGAGGAUGAUUAGUUAUAUUGGGAUUGAGAUAUGGUUUAGAUUUUUAUGGGAGGUAGUAGUGGGGAAUUUUUUGUAAUGGGUGAAAGUUUGAUGGAGUAAUGUUGUGUGGAGGUAGAAGGUUUAUGGGUUGUAAAUUUUUUUUUUUAGAGAAGAAGUAAUGAUGGUAUUUGAGGAAUAAGUAUUGGUUAAUUUUGUGUUAGUAGUUGUGGUAAGAUAGAGGAUGUAAGUGUUAUUUGGAAUGAUUGGGUGUAAAGUGUUUGUAGGUGGUUUUUUAAGUUUGUUGUUAAAUUUUAGGGUUUAAUUUUGGAUAGGUGGUGGAAAUUAUUAAGUUGGAGUAUGGUAGGGGUAGAGGGAAUUUUUGGUGGAGUGGUGAAAUGUGUAGAGAUUGGAAAGAAUAUUAAUGGUGAAAGUAUUUUGUUGGGUUGAUAUUGAUAUUGAGAGAUGAAAGUUAGGGGAGUGAAUGGGAUUAGAUAUUUUAGUAGUUUUAGUUGUAAAUGAUGGAUAUUAAGUGUUGUGUGUAUUGAUUUGUGUAGUGUUGUAGUUAAUGUGUUAAGUAUUUUGUUUGGGGAGUAUGUUUGUAAGAAUGAAAUUUAAAGGAAUUGAUGGGGGUUUGUAUAAGUGGUGGAGUAUGUGGUUUAAUUUGAUGUAAUGUGAAGAAUUUUAUUAGGGUUUGAUAUGUUGUGAAUUUUUUUGAAAGAAAGGAGUGUUUUUGGGAAUGUGGAUAUAGGUGGUGUAUGGUUGUUGUUAGUUUGUGUUGUAAGGUGUUGGGUUAAGUUUUGUAAUGAGUGUAA
rnacentral:rRNA from 1 species